GAUGAACGCUGGCGGCGUGCCUAAUACAUGCAAGUCGAACGGACAGGCGCGGCGCUUGCGGGGUGCUCGUGUGGCGAACGGGUGAGUAACACGUGAGUAACCUGUCCUUGUCUGUGGGAUAACACUAGGAAACUGGGGCUAAUACAGGAGAGGAGCUCCUGCAGCACGGUGGGGGAUGGAAAGUUUCGGCGGUUGGGGAUGGACUAGCUGCUUAUCAGCUUGUUGGUGUGGUAGUGGCUUACCAAGGCUUUGACGGAUAGCCGGCCUGGGAGGGUGACCGGCGACAUUAGGACUGCGAGAGGGACCAGACUCGUACGGGAGGCAGCGGUGGAGAGUAUUGCACAGUGGGCCGAAGCCUGAGGCGGCGGCGCCGCGUGCGGGAUGACGGCCUACGGGUUGUAAACCGCUUUCGCCUGUGACGAGGCGUGAGUGACGGUAAUGGGUAAGGAAGCACCGGCUAACUACGUG
rnacentral:rRNA from 1 species